rnacentral:lncRNA from 1 species
GAAAGUAUCUUCCCUAAGAGAAUCUGGAGCAGGUGUAUCCAAAAUAUAGGAGACUUUCUCCUGAGUGAGAAUAAUUCUCAAGUUUUUUAACCAGUCGACAUAGUUAGGUCCAGUCAACUUGUUUGCAUCUAGGAUACCUCUAAGUGAAAGUGAGGAUGCCAUAUGUGUAGUUAAUCUACAACAACAAGAAUAUAAUAUAAGCAAAUAACUCAUGAUGACAUGCACAACUAGACUAGGACUUUUAUCUAAUUGUAUCUCCUACUAUUUUAUCGAACUUCAUAUCCCUCA